AUUGUGACCGCAAUCUGAUCCAUGGCACACACACACUCCAGCAUCUGCCAGUUACAAAGUCGGUCCCUGACAGAGGAGAUGAUGGAUUUCAAAACACAUUACUGAAAAAACAGACCUUUUGGGUGAAUUAUGAAGUUUUUCCAUUCUAUCCUUUGUCUUCUAGUUACUCAAAAAUUGGUCACAUCCCAAGUUUUCCAGCCAUUGCAAGUUGACAUUACAGAAGGACAGAAGAUGCUGGUCUCUUGCCACCAGAACGUUACCAGUCACAACACGAUGUCUUGGUAUAAGCAGGUCCUGGAGGGUCAAAGGGUUUGGUCCACAUUAGGGUCUGGGUACACCGGAUUGACACCGUUCGGAGACUUCCUAAUAGAAGUGGAUCCAAACUUACGCUCCACCAACCUUAUCAAAGAAAAAGCAGCAUGGAGUGAUGGUGGUGUCUACUACUGCGCCGUGAAGGACACAGUGAGAGGAAAUGAGGAGCAGGCUUCAUAGAAACCACUCCACGAGUUUUCUUUUACCUUCAUUUCCUUUCUUACAUUGUUUGUUUUACUUUGCCUUGGACGCAUUGACUUAGGUUUACAAAUUCCUGUUUCUUGAGUGGCCAAAGUAUUGUGUGUAACACUAUGCAACACGAUUUUUGUCCCUGGGUUAUAAAUGUCAUUUUCUAAUUGGUUGUAUCAUAAAAAAAUUGAAAAAGUUUAUUAAACUGCAAAAACUUUU